AGAUAAGUAUAUUUUAGAGAGUAGUCUGCUGGUUAUAAAAAAUUAACCUAGGGUUCUAGUAAACAAGCCAAUGACAUGCUAAGAAAUUACUCCAAUUAAAGAUUAUUAGAAUAUGUAUUUUACCAAAAUGAAUAAAUUGAACAAAAUAUAUGACUUUUAUUUUUAAUAUCAGCAGCUGGUGCUUUGAAUGUAAAUGUGAAAAAGGAGAUAUCUAGUCCAGCAAGACCUUGCUCUUUUGAAGAAGCCAUGAAAGGUAACAAGUUGAUUUUUCUCAAAAACUAAUUUUGCCCUCCUGUGUGUUUACCAGCAAAACCUUAAUGCUUUGUUUUCUCUGAUCUAAUGUGAUACUUAGCAAGGUGUUUUCCAAAUUAUAAAAUAAAUACUUGUUUAACUUCACUGAUGCAGAGACUUAUUUUUCAACUUGAUAUUUCCCUUCAUUUAGCAUAUAAAAACAAAACAAAAACCCAUAAUAGACCAGACAUGGUGGUGCAUACUUGUAAUCCUAGCACUUGGGAGGCAAGGGGAUCAUGAGUUCAAAAUUACCAAGACCUUGUCUCAAAAUAACAACUAAUAUGUUUGAGUAGAGGAGUGUGGUUUCUUCAGUUUAACCCUUAUGGGCCUUCAAGAUGGCUCAGUGGAUAAGGUACUUGCCACCAGUUCCAAUGACCUGGGUUUAAUCCCCAAAACACACGGGGAUUGUGGAAAAAGGGGACCAACUCUCACAAGUAGCUGACCUUCACAUGUAUCAUGGCAGUUGGAUACCCACACAUACACACAAGAUAAAUAUAUAAAUAGAAAAACACCAAAAUAAAGCCCAAAUCCCAUAAAAGUAAUGAGAAUAAGUCAUACAGUUGUGCUUUUUACUGAGACUGAAGAGACUAAAAUAUGAACUGUAGGUGUUUGAAGAGUUACUUUGGGAUCUAACCAUUCUUAAGUCUGACAUGUUUAUUUACUUCUCUACCAAUUUAAAAAACAUCAAAACAGUGAAGACCAGGAGUGAUAGAUAGCACAUUCCUACAGUGUCUUGUUUUGUUUUGUUUUUUUCUUUCUUUUUUUUUCCGAGAUAGGGUUUCUCUGUGUAGCCCUGGCUGUUCUGGCACUCACUCUGUAGACCAGGCUGGCCUCUAACUCAGAAAUCCACCUGCCUCUGCCUCCCGAGUGCUGGGAUUAAAGGCGUGCGCCACCACUACCCGGCAUUCCUACAGUGUCAGUGCUCUGGUAUCUGAGACAGAAAUUUCAUGCACUCAAGACCCAUCUAGCCUUUAUACUAAGACUUGUCUCCAAAAACCCAAGUUCAAAAGAAGCAAUGGUUAUAAACCAACUUAAGUUUGUUACAAUGUGGUAAGGCAGAUUAUUGUCCACAAUUACAGUAUGUGGUGAUGGUGCUUUUAUGCCUUUAUCUAUGAAGAUACAGAUUACACAAUGACACAGUUCUAUAAUUCAUGAGUCAGUCUGCCUCCAGAAAUGGCAACAGUGGAUCCCAGUGCAUCAUCCCUGUGCCAUACCACACAACAGCAAGUCAGCCUUCUCUGUACUGACAAUCCAUGCAAGCUCAGUUAUUUCCUUUCUCUUACCCAGCCCAGAAGCACUAGCACUCCACCUAACUAGAACACCUAAGCUAGGGAUCUUACAGCUUUCUACCUACUAACAAAAGCCAGUCUAAGCUAAUGAGAGCCAGGUGUGGAAGCCCAUGCUUUUAAUGCCAGCACUUGUGAGGCAGAGGUAGGUAGAUUUUUGUGAGUUGCCUGGUCUACAUAGUAAGUUCCAAGACAGCCAGGGCUAUGUAGAGACCCCAUCUAAAAAAAAAAAAAAACAACAACAACAAC
rnacentral:lncRNA from 1 species